ACAGCAGAAAUAUGAGGUAUUUUUGAGUAAAACAGGAUAUUUAAAAAUGAGUAAAAAUGUAGGGCAAGGGCAGGGCUUGAUUUUAUCCACCAGGAAUUGUUUGGAUUGUGAAAGGUGGCCUCUGUAUGACAGAAAGGUGAGGAUUGAAAAGUAAGAGGACCUGGUGAUGUCAACUAAAAAAUGAACGUCAUUUCAGAAGCAGAGCAAGUUAUUACAUUUUGAUGAAAGAAGACACCCUUUUUUCUUUGGAAUAAAAUGAAUCCCUCACAAUACGACCAAGAAUGUGUCUUAAGAAAGUAAACAGAUCAAUUUUGAAGAGAGAAAGAAAGAAAGAAAGAAAGAAAGAAAGAGAAAGAAAAAAGAGAAAGAAAGAAGCAUUACUUUAACAUUUUAUGUCACUCCGACCUACCUGAGAAAAAGACACUAAAGCAACUCUAAAAGGUUUCUUAUGUUUUAUACUGGACAUAUUGAAGUCACCUGAUAUAUCAAAGUCAUUCUUUGAACUGGACUUUUGAACCAUUCUAUUGAGCAAACCCUCAAAACUCUUGCCAAAUCUGGGCCUUUUGAUUUGUGGAUUUGGCUGUGUUUAGGUUUGGCUUGGGCACCGUCUCCAUUCUCAGAUUCAUGAAGAUAGAGGAGGACACUGUCUACUCUCUGUCAUUUUGAUUGACUAAAGUUGAAAGCCAGGGUACUCUCUGAAAAAAAAGCCAUCAAGAGUGCUUGAGCAGCAUGCUCACUUUGGAUCAGAGCAAAUGUCUGAAACACUCUUUUCACGACUUCAGAUACCGGCACCUCUUCAGACAGAACAGUAGAAAACAAUACAUUCUUGGUGGCUUCUGUAAUGAAGUCUUGAAGCCAAAAGACAUUAUGUCUCUUCUCUCUGCCCAGAAUGUGCCAACCUUGUCUUGAACCGAAUCAACCUGGCCCUUUUCCUUUUGACAAAAGACACUUUGGUGUAGAAUGGAGCUCUCUCACGCUCUCUUGGACAACCUGCACAAAGAUGCAGCCUGCCACCUGCAUUAAACUGCUGCUCUAUCUGUAAUGUACAGUAUGUUAGCAGCUGAAACAUACAGCAGCCCUUUGUUUGUGAUUGCUACUGUCUGAUAUAUGAGACUAUCAAAUAUAUGAAUCAAAAAUAUAAUACACUUAUAGUUUCACUUUGUUUAAUAUUGCAAUUCCAAGAGCCACUAAUAAAAUAACUUUUUGAUAAUGUU